rnacentral:rRNA from 1 species
UACGGAGGGGGCUAGCGUUGUUCGGAAUUACUGGGCGUAAAGCGCACGUAGGCGGCUUUGCAAGUUAGAGGUGAAAGCCCGGGGCUCAACCCCGGAAUUGCCUUUAAAACUGCAUCGCUAGAAUUGUGGAGAGGUAAGUGGAAUUCCGAGUGUAGAGGUGAAAUUCGUAGAUAUUCGGAAGAACACCAGUGGCGAAGGCGGCUUCCUGGCCCGAUUCUGACGCUGAAGUGCGAAAGCGUGGGGAGCGAUC